rnacentral:rRNA from 1 species
GUGCCAGCCGCCGCGGUAAUACGUAUGUUCCAAGCGUUAUCCGGAUUUAUUGGGCGUAAAGCGAGCGCAGACGGUUAUUUAAGUCCGAAGUGAAAGCCCACAGCUUAACUGUGGAAGUGCUUUGGAAACUGGAUAACUUGAGUGCAGUAGAGGAGAGUGGAACUCCAUGUGUAGCGGUGAAAUGCGUAGAUAUAUGGAAGAACACCAGUGGCGAAGGCGGCUCUCUGGACUGUAACUGACGUUGAGGCUCGAAAGUGUGGGUAGCAAACAGGAUUAGAUACCCUGGUAGUCCACACCGUAAACGAUGAGUGCUAGAUGUUUGAGGGUUUCCGCCCUUAAGUGUCGCAGCUAACGCAUUAAGCACUCCGCCUGGGGAGUACGACCGCAAGGUUGAA